UACGUAGGGUGCGAGCGUUUGUCCGGAAUUAUUGGGCGUAAAGAGCUCGUAGGCGGUUUGUCGCGUCGGCCGUGAAAUCUCCACGCUUAACGUGGAGCGUGCGGUCGAUACGGGCAGACUUGAGUUCGGUAGGGGAGACUGGAAUUCCUGGUGUAGCGGUGAAAUGCGCAGAUAUCGGGAGGAACACCGGUGGCGAAGGCGGUUCUCUGGGCCUUACCUGACGCUGAGGAGCGAAAGCGUGGGGAGCGAACAGG
rnacentral:rRNA from 1 species